AACGAACGCUGGCGGCAUGCCUAACACAUGCAAGUCGAACGAGACCUUCGGGUCUAGUGGCGCACGGGUGCGUAACGCGUGGGAACCUGCCCUUAGGUUCGGAAUAACUCCCCGAAAGGGGUGCUAAUACCGGAUAAUGUCUUCGGACCAAAGAUUUAUCGCCUUUGGAUGGGCCCGCGUUGGAUUAGCUAGUUGGUAGGGUAAAAGCCUACCAAGGCGACGAUCCAUAGCUGGUCUGAGAGGAUGAUCAGCCACACUGGGACUGAGACACGGCCCAGACUCCUACGGGAGGCAGCAGUGGGGAAUAUUGGACAAGGGGCGAAAGCCUGAUCCAGCAAUGCCGCGUGAGUGAUGAAGGCCUUAGGGUUGUAAAGCUCUUUUACCCGGGAUGAUAAUGACAGUACCGGGAGAAUAAGCACCGGCUAACUCCGUG
rnacentral:rRNA from 1 species